ensembl:lncRNA
AAAUAGGCAACCUGGUAGUGCUCAGCUCCUGGGCCAGUUGUGAAAAUGCUACAAGAGAAUAAGUAUCUCAUGUUGUGGCUGGCUACACAAAUGUUGCUGCUGCCUGGGGCAUGUCCUGUGCACCAGGUGGGAACUUGAGCCAUGAGUCUGGAUCACACUCAAGUACCUGAAGAGUGGCCUCAGAUGGAGACUCAAAGAACCAGACACUGCAGGAAUGCCAAGAAUGACCUGGGGAACCACAGUUUGGGUAUUUACUUGGAUUCCAGUACCCACUCACUGAAUGACUUAAAAACAUGCCAUUUCCCUUAUGACUGUCCAUUUGUUAUUAAGCAAUAUUUAAGAAAUAAUAAUGUGUAUUGUUAUGGGAAAAUUAUGCCCCUGUCAGAACAUAAUUUCUCUGAUAGCAUGUACAUUAGAAGUCAGUAAAUCUUUGCUGAAUGAAAGCAAAUAUGAGAUAAAAGAAUUCUGGGAAAAUCUGGUCUGGUUGUAAUAUUAUGUUUUGAAAUGACAGAUAGGAACUACUAUUCCAGGAGACAAUGUACUUAGUC